GCUAAAAAACCAAAGAAACAAUAAAGAAAACCACCCACUGGAAACUAAACCAUAAAUGCAAAAAACAAAAAAACACCCUCAGCCAAAAUCAAAAGACAUUAAACUCAAAAUACAGUUGAAACAACUUCUCCCUUCUUGGUAAGAGACAAUUUUUCAGAUGAUAAGACAGAGAAACCCAAGAGCUUUGAGUCCAACCAUGGAGAUUCAAAGAACCUUUUCCAAUAUCAAAGUAGUGUACGACGAAUUUUGGUGUCUUAGAGACCGAUCCACCCGAUCCUUUUCCACUAUCAUAAUUACCGAGCUAGGAACCCCAUCAACCCAAAUACCAGAAUAAUGUCUUCUCCUUCGUUCCAUCGCCAGAAUGUGGGCCGCUCCAUUGAUCCGUUAGGGAACGAACAGCUUUUUGAUGACCAUCAGAGAGUCUCCUUCCACUAUCAAGCAUCGAAAACCCAUUCGAAGUGCAAAGAGUAAAAUCCUUUCACACGCCUUAGCUUCAGCCACGAACGCAUCAGCUACAUCCGUAAACAGAUAAGUUUCUGCUCCUACUAUUUCUCCUUUAGAAUCUCUAGCUAGGACUGCAGUUGAGGAAGUUUUAGAGUUGCUUUGAAAGGUUGCAUCAAAUUUUAAUUUGAUAAAACCUAGAUCUGGAGGCCUCCAAAAUUCAUUCGGCAGGGAAAUACAAGCCACUCCCAUUUUCUCUUGACAUAGAUUUAUUUCAUGACCAUAACCUCGAAUGAAUCCUAACAGUUCCUACAAAGAAAAACUAAUACCUUCAUAAAUAAACUUAUUUCUUCUGUACCAUAGGGCCAUAAGGAAAUUGCAAUAAGCUAUUUGUUUAGUUCAUCUGUAAAAAAAAAAAUUUUAAGAAAAUGAUUUUUGCAGCUCAAGGCAUUGUCAACUGGAGUGAUUUUGAUUUGAAGAGAUGCCCAGACACUCUAUAAAGUAUCACAGGACCAAAAUAGAUGAUCAGUAUCCUCUAGUGCUGCCUUUCAAAGGGGACAGUCUACUCUAACCCGUAAUUUUCUUUAAUUCAGAUUAUAGUGAUUAGGUAUAAAAUUGUUGAGUAACCUCUAAACAUGUAUUUUAACUUUUGCUGGUAUGUGAAUAGCCCAGAAAUACCUGUAAUCCUUGUAAACCACUGUGUUAGGAUUGAUGUAAUUUGUGUUUAAGCGAUGUUCUGUAAUUAAGAUCCGGUAUUCGCUUUUCACUGUAUAUUCCCCAGAGCCCUUGUGCUUCCAGGCCAUCGUGUCCCUCGAUUUAGAUCCAGAUAACGAAAUGGACAGAAUGCGAGCUAAAUGCACAUCAUCAACAAUAUUACGAACCAGUUCCUUAUUCUAGGAAGCCAAGGGGUAUUCCAGAUGUUAACGCUAGCUCUAUUGCCAACUCGCCAUAAAAUCCCAUCUUCAAUUAGAUCCCGAGCACUGCAGAUGCUCCUUCAGUGCCGCCUAAUUAGCUCGAAGAUCAUCGGACAUCGGAGGCAUCGAUCACACUAUCAACCGAAGCACUUGGUAUAGUUGGUUUUAUUAUUUUGAGUAUGGCAUGUAUAGGGCUUAGACUUUUGAGUUUUGUGUCAAUGUUAAUUUAGUAAAGGUGUUAGCUUGGCAUGAAUCCCUUAGUUUUGUAUAAAGCCUUGGAUAAUGGCUAAUAUUUAUUAUUGAUAUAUGCAAAUGAUGAUAUUUUCAUAAA